UUGCUAACUGGACGGACGUCAAAGCAAAAAGUGAAAUUAUUAUUUGCUAGUGGAAAGCAAUAAAUACCGUGAUAAUAGAAAUUCAUUAUUUAAAUUAAAUCUAAGUACAUAAACAAUAAGAAAAAGAUAAUUGCAAAAGAAAGCUGAUAUUAUAAAGUGAAAGUGUUUAAUGGAUUAAAAAAGCAAAGUUUUUGCAAUAAUUAAAUUGACAUCUAUAAACCUAGGCCGCCAUUUUAAAAGUCAGAGGAACUGACGUUUCGGCUAUUGAUGCAUCCAUAUCAAGGCAUUUCAACAAUAACUUGGCGAUUAUUUUUGCUGUCUUCAUGUGAUUUAUAUAUUGGAUUCAAAAUGCUUUUAAAAUAACUAAAAAUUUACUUGGAGAACUGCAAUUUUUUUAAAUUCCUCUUGGCUUAAAGUAAUUUGAAGAGCCCCAUAAGCAGUAGAUACUACAUGAAAAGCUAUUAGUAGUAGCAGCUAAUGUUCGUUUAAAAAUGUUUUAGUCUUAGAAUUAAUUUAUAAGAUAAUUAAAUAAAUAAUAAAUAAUAAAUAAAUAA